rnacentral:rRNA from 1 species
AGUGAACGCUGGCGGUAGGCCUAACACAUGCAAGUCGAACGGCAGCACAGUAAGAGCUUGCUCUUACGGGUGGCGAGUGGCGGACGGGUGAGGAAUACAUCGGAAUCUACUUUUUCGUGGGGGAUAACGUAGGGAAACUUACGCUAAUACCGCAUACGACCUACGGGUGAAAGCAGGGGAUCUUCGGACCUUUCGCGAUUGAAUGAGCCGAUGUCGGAUUAGCUAGUUGGCGGGGUAAAGGCCCACCAAGGCGACGAUCCGUAGCUGGUCUGAGAGGAUGGUCAGCCACACUGGAACUGAGACACGGUCCAGACUCCUACGGGAGGCAGCAGUGGGGAAUAUUGGACAAUGGGCGCAAGCCUGAUCCAGCCAUACCGCGUGGGUGAAGAAGGCCUUCGGGUUGUAAAGCCCUUUUGUUGGGAAAGAAAAGCAGCAGGUUAAUACCCCGCUGUUCUGACGGUACCCAAAGAAUAAGCACCGGCUAACUUCGUG